rnacentral:rRNA from 1 species
AACGAACGCUGGCGGCAUGCCUAACACAUGCAAGUCGAACGAAGCCUUCGUGCUUAUUUGCGCACGUGUGCUUACCACGUGGUAAUUUACCCCUUGCUUCCGUAUCCCAGAUAUAAAUGUCUGCUCAUACCGGUUGAACUCUUCCGACCUAAGAUUUCUCGGUAAGGGAUGAGCCCGCGUAGGAUUAGGUAGUUGGUGGGGUACUGGCCUACCAAGCCGACGAUCCUUAGCUGGUCGGAGAGGAUGAUCAGCCACAAUGGGCAUGAGACACGGACCAGACUGCGACGGGAGGGAGCAGAGGGGAAUAUUGGAGGAUGGACGCAAGUCUGAUCAAGCAAUGCCGCGUGAGAGAGGAAGGCGUUAGGGUUGUAAAGCUCUUUUAGAAGGAAUGAGAAUGACAGUACCUGGAGAAUAAGCACCGGCUAACUACGUG